rnacentral:rRNA from 1 species
GACGAACGCUGGCGGCGUGCUUAACACAUGCAAGUCGAACGAUGAAGCCUCUUCGGGGGUGGAUUAGUGGCGAACGGGUGAGUAACACGUGAGUAACCUGCCCUUCACUUCAGGAUAAGCCUUGGAAACGGGGUCUAAUACUGGAUAUGACUCAAGCUCGCAUGGGUUUGGGUGGAAAGAUUUUUUGGUGGGGGAUGGGCUCGCGGCCUAUCAGCUUGUUGGUGAGGUAGUGGCUUACCAAGGCGACGACGGGUAGCCGGCCUGAGAGGGUGACCGGCCACACUGGGACUGAGACACGGCCCAGACUCCUACGGGAGGCAGCAGUGGGGAAUAUUGCACAAUGGGCGCAAGCCUGAUGCAGCGACGCCGCGUGAGGGAUGAAGGCCUUCGGGUUGUAAACCUCUUUCGUCAGGGAAGAAGCGAAAGUGACGGUACCUGAAGAAGAAGCACCGGCUAACUACGUGCCAGCAGCCGCCGUAACAC